rnacentral:lncRNA from 1 species
UGACGACAAAGAGGAGGAGGGGUUAGAAGAUAUUGAUGAAGAAGGAGUUGAGGAUGAAGGUGAAGAUGAUGAUUUCUUCUCACCAACCCCUCUUCACCCGUCGGAACCGGAAGGAUGUGUGGAUAGAUGGCUUAAGAACAUUUUCCAAAAUGGCUUCCCUGCUGUGUCUCAGUCACCAUCCGUCCGUCCUCCACAACUGAGUCAUUCUCCUGAACUUCUACCAGCAUCUUCCCACUCACAGUGUUCCUUUUCCGUUCCUGGCUGAUGUCAGUGCUCAGCUUGGUACCACAGCAUCCUAAAUGAGGAACAUAUGGAAAGGAUUGGGCUGUUCUGAUCUCCAUGUGCAUAGAUAGACAAUUAAUUAUCCAUGGUAAUUUAUAUAGCAUCACAGGCAUGCAUGCAUACACAUUAUUACACACAGGACAUCAUUUCCAGGAGCAUGAAGGCAUCUGAUCUUUAGGAUGUCUUGAAACAAGGACUUGAUGAGUCCAUCUGUGUAAUUGGAGGUAGUAUUUGUCAUGUUCCAUCAAUGACUCACUACAGUUAAACCAGAAGCAAAUUUGCAUAGUGUCAAAAGACAGA